rnacentral:rRNA from 1 species
UACGUAGGGGGCAAGCGUUGUCCGGAUUUAUUGGGCGUAAAGAGCUCGUAGGUGGUUCGGUAAGUCGGAUGUGAAAUCUCCAGGCUCAACCUGGAGGGGUCAUUCGAUACUGCCGUGACUAGAGUUCGGUAGGGGAGUGUGGAAUUCCUGGUGGAGCGGUGAAAUGCGCAGAUAUCAGGAGGAACACCCGUAGCGAAGGCGGCACUCUGGGCCGAUACUGACACUGAGGAGCGAAGGCGUGGGGAGCGAACAGG